UACGGUAGGGGCCUAGCGUUGUCCGGAAUUAUUGGGCGUAAAGGGCGCGUAGGCGGCGGGGCAAGUCGGGUGUGAAAUCUCAGGGCUCAACCCCAUAACUGCACUCGAUACUGCUCUGCUUGAGGAGCUGGAGGGGAGACUGGAAUUCACGGUGUAAGCAGUGAAAUGCGUAGAUAUCGUGAGGAAGACCAGUGGCGGAAGGCGGGUCUCUGGACAGUUCCUGACGCUGAGGCGCGAAGGCCAGGGGAGCAAACGGG
rnacentral:rRNA from 1 species